CACUAAUAUAAAAAACAAGCUGGUGCAUAAUCACAUAAACUACUUUCACAAUUCAAUUAUAGUUAGAGAUGAUCAAAUGGAUAUUUCAUUCUCAUCAAGUUAAAAACAAAGAAACUGAAAACUUUCACAUGGAUUUUCUUAAUUUUAUAUUACAUUCCAUAACAUUAUGUUUUACUAUUUUUGUUAAAUACAGAGUUACGAAUGUGUUAGAAAAAAUGUCUUUUUUUCAAACUUGUUAAACAGAUAAAAGGUAAGAAGCUACUUAGGUAGCUUAGGUAAGAAAUCUGGUACAGUUAAUAAAUUGACAGAUCUUAAUCAGAUGUGAGUGGUUUAGGUUUACACGUUUGUAUUCAAUUUUCAAGUUUAUACCUUAAACCAAGUAUACAUUUAUAUGUAUAAAUAGUUAAAAUAUGACAUACAUAAAUACACAUAUUUUAAUAUCUCAUUAAAAGUUUACAUUUUAAAAAAUAUACUCUUUUGCUUUAUAUUCUAGCAGUGAACAUAUUUUGGGUCACAUAAAACUUAUCUUAGAUAAGAUUACUAGAAUUAAAAUGUUGCUAGUGUUAUUUCUUUGGUAUGACAUACAAAUUUAUAUUUAAUACUAAGUAUUCAGCAGUGAUCUUAAAAUCAUUUAAAAUACUUUCACCUUUGAUUGUAUAGUGUUUCCUAACAUUUGUCAAUUCUAGGAUAAAAAAAGUUACCUUCUUAAUAACAAAACUCGGUGUUUGAAACUAAUUCUAAUACUUUACAUCAAAGCAAGGACUAAAUACAUGUUCAAUUAUUAAUACAGAAAAACAUUAAAUAAAACCUUACAUUUUAAUUUACAUUUUUUCCUAAAAUGCCUAUAAAAAACCAAAAAACAAAAAACAGCCAAACACUAAAUAUAGCACCCAUUAUAUUAUUAAUGUUAACACUAUAUGACAUCACUAUGGAUGACAUAAAAUGUUGCCUAGUUGCUUUCUAGUACUAAAACAAAUCAGGCUUGCUGGAAAUUCAGAGACCAAAGAAAUAUCAGAUCCGUGUCAUUUCUGCAUGCCUCCAUAUUCUCUGGCUCUGGCUGCUACCCAGGCAAAUUCUAAAAGUACAGCAAAAAUUCAUAAGAACAUGUACAAUUCCAGAAGAAGCUAACUGACUCUGCAUUCAUUUGAAGAUUCUGAAAACAGGUUCCUACACUGGGAACUCAAAGGAUUCCAGUACCACAAACAAAUAAAGAUCUGCAGGUUUCUCUAAUGGGUGAGUAU
rnacentral:lncRNA from 1 species